UACGGGGGGGGCGAGCGUUGUUCGGAAUUACUGGGCGUAAAGGGCGCGUAGGCGGUCUGCUAAGUUGGAUGUGAAAACUCUGGGCUUAACCCAGAGCCUGCAUUCAAAACUGACAGGCUAGAGUUCUGGAGGGGGAAGCGGAAUUCCUGGUGUAGCGGUGAAAUGCGUAGAUAUCAGGAGGAACACCGGUGGCGAAGGCGGCUUCCUGGACAGAAACUGACGCUGAGGCGCGAAAGCUAGGGGAGCAAACAGG
rnacentral:rRNA from 1 species